rnacentral:ncRNA from 1 species
GCUUGCCGGACUGUUUAUUAAAAACAUUUUUAUUAAAUAAUUUUUAAUAAUCUAGCCUGCCCUAUGUGAUUUUAUAAAUGGCCGCAGUAUAUUGACUGUGCUAAGGUAGCAUAAUUAAUUGCCUUAUAAUUGAAGGAUUGUUUGAAGGGUAUUACCAGGUGAGU